rnacentral:sRNA from 1 species
GUCUUUAUUUCCUUCCCAAUCGGCUGCCAUCCGAGGAGCUGAGGAAGCCUAGAGCCCUCAGGAGCAGUCCUUUGAGCUGGCGUAGGGGUAAGGGGCACAACAGGGAGGUUGGUGAUGAGGAAGUUCCUUACUUUGAUCUUCGGAAAUCCCUUGUUCCUGGUGGCACCUCCAAAGCCGUGAGUAGCCAGAGCUCACCACCCGGGACUUUGCUGCAUUCCAAGUGUAGCGUUUGGAGACAAACGAGUUGUGGUUUGGCGGUUUGAGACUGGGAAAUCGCCAAACGUUUUCAUAUUUUACACCCACGUUUUCACAGCACACCUGUACGUGUCCUCAGUCUUUGGGAGGGCAGGGACCGGCGAGUUCGGGUGGUUGUUUCGCUAUUUGGCUUCUGCUUCCAAGGCCCAUGUCAAGGAAGAGAAAAAUGUGUUAGUGAGAGAGAAGUUUCUGUCUUGCUUUUGGAGAUGCAUACAGACUAAUGGCUUCAUAAAUCACUCGCACUGGUUUUACGUGUCAAGUUUUGGUGUCUGGCAGUUCUGUUUUAGUUUAAUUUUAGUGAGAGGCUUGUGACAACAAAUGAAAUGGUUACAGGGUGUGGAAUGGGAAGAUUAAAUUAGUUCUAGUGUUGGUUAUGUUUUACGUUAGGUAGUUCCCUUAACGAAGUUGCUCGUAUGCAUGUCUGUAUAACCGAUUUGCUAAAUAACAUCACGAUGUUUCCAGAAGUGGGAAGAAAGCAGGUGCCAUAACCCAAAGAAACUUGUGUAAUAUCAAAAUUAGUAUUAAAGGGUAUGCCUUUACGCAGGUGGUGCUUGAGGGCAAGACAUUGAACCCUGAUAUGUGCCAGGCAUUGUGUUGGGAGGGAUAGCUCACGUCGUUUAAUCAUAAUGACAGCUGUAUACAGUAGACAGAAUUCCCGUUUUAGAGAUAAGGAGGGCUAGCUCCUUGCCCUGUGUAUUCCCAAUAAAUGGCAUAGCUAAGGAUUCGACUUCAGAGCUCACUUUUUGUGCUGUUUGUUUAAAGCAGUGUUUCUCCAACUGGGCUUGUAGCACUUUUCUGGACACCACUCCAAACAAAAUCAGACUCUGAGUAAGGAGCCUGGUCAUCAGAAUGUUAAGGAAGUGCCACGUUUGAUUACCAUCAGGAAAGCUAACAUUAUUGGCCUCUUGUUUAUCAGUCACCUUUAAAUACAAGUAGUUUUAAAAUGUGGAAUAAUACAUCUUAAUUUAAGGGUGUUACAUACAAGGAUAUGUGUGUGAAUGAAAUAGACCACAUGAUACUGUUUUGAGAUUUUAUUUACUUUUACAAUGGAAAGAUUUGAUGUUACUCUAUUCUUAAUUUAGGCACUCAGAAUGGUCCAGCGUUUGACAUACCGACGUAGGCUUUCCUACAAUACAGCCUCUAACAAAACUAGGCUGUAAGUAUUUCUAAAAAUUUUAAGUAUAUAUUUUCAUUUACUCUACAAAAUGCUGACCUAUUGACUGUUUCACUUUCUAGGUCCCGAACCCCUGGUAAUAGAAUUGUUUACCUUUAUACCAAGAAGGUUGGGAAAGCACCAAAAUCUGCAUGUGGUGUGUGCCCAGGCAGACUUCGAGGGGUAAGUGUACCUUUUACUGUGUGCAGCCUAACAAGUCUUGAACUUACUGAGCUUUCAUCGCUUGACGAUGGAAUGAAUCAAGGAGAGGUUACCACUAAGAGGGUUGAGAAUUGCUUAACAUUCAUGAGCCAUAUCUGCCAAGAACAUAGACUUUUAAAACCAAUCUGAGAAAUGCAGUGAAAUGCCUUUCAGAUAAAUCAGUACACCAUUUCCCUUUGUAACCUACUUUAAACUUGCCCUUAACACUUAACAAAAUUUAGGAAAACUUCUGUUAAAGCAUCACAAAAAUCUUAAUAUUUUUCUUAUGCAGGUUCGUGCUGUAAGACCUAAAGUUCUUAUGAGAUUGUCCAAAACAAAGAAACAUGUCAGCAGGGCCUAUGGUGGUUCCAUGUGUGCUAAAUGUGUUCGUGACAGGUAAGUUAAAUGCUUAAAUGGGCUUUCUUUAGCAAAUUAUUGUGUGUGUUAUACUGUCUGCUAAUCAGUACAAUGGUGAAACAACUCAUUUUAAACCAGUUGCAUGCUUCAGAACCCUUUCUUUACUAUGGAUAAUUGAUGCUGCACAAAGCAGGGAAUGAUAAAGUAAUAAUUUGGGGGCAUAUUUAUGCUAGAUGUGGAGAUUAAAAGGAACUUGGUUUUGUUCAGGAGGUGGGUAAGAAAGUCUCUGUUAGUGGUUUGGACAAAGAUAGGUGGAGUGUGGAAGGUGUUAAAAGUGUAGGAACAGAAGAGUUGUGUAUUCUCAUGUUCCUGGAGCAUAGGGUUGCAGGAGAUGAUGGACAACAAAGGUAGAAAAGCCAGAUUAUGGCCAGGUGCGGUGGCUUACGCCUGAAAUCCCAACACUUUGGGAGGCGGAGGCAGGCAGAUCACCUGAGGUUGGGAGAUUGAGACCAGCCUGACCAACAUGGAGAAACACCGUCUCUACUAAAAAUACAAAAAGGUAGCUGGGCGUGGUGGCGCAUGCCUGUGAUCCCAGCUACUCAGAGACUGAGGCAGGAGAAUUGCUGGAAGCUGGGAGGCAGAGGUUGUGGUGAGCUGCGAUUGCACCAUUGCACUCCAGCCUGGGCAACAAGAGCGAAACUCUUGUCUC